AGGCUUCUGGCCUUUUGGGGGAAGCAGACACAGGCAGUGACCAGAGUGUGACCUGCACUGUGACAGAGGGAAGGAGGCACCUGGGCUGGGAGAAGCUGGAGCAGGUGGCAUCUGAUCUGCUUCAAGGAGCAGGAAGAGCCAGAAGGGAGGACCUGGGAAGCCUCUCAGAGAAGCCUCAGCUGAAGAAAUAAAAGUUCUCAAAGGCUUCCUUCCGACCUGUUGAGAGGUAGGGCUGCCACUGUUUGCCAGGUGGUUGUGGCUGUCUCCUCCCUACUGCCCGACUUUCCCAGAGCCUGGAGACCUACCUGCUCCUCGUCCUGGAUUUGGCAUUGGCUCACCUUGGACAAGUCUGUCCCCUUUUGGGGCCUCAGUCUCCCAAUCUCUAUGCUGAGGGGGUUGGACUUCAGGGCUCGCCUCGGUGCCUUCUACUACUUCCCCCAAACCUCGUGCCCCCGCCAUGCCCAAGGUACAGGUGUUGGGUGCUGAUCUACAUGAUAUCUUCAUCCAGGCUCAGAGCCACAGGGCCAGGUGCCACGAGGGCCCUCGGUUACUCAGGAUGCAUUUGUGGCACCUGAGUAGGAGAGUCUCAGGGAAUGGCAGCCAGCACUGGAGGGUGAUUCUUUUCAUCCUGUACAAAAACCUGCCUGAGGAUCUACUUGACCCAAAGCACCUUGGUAGAGGGUGCUACGGCACACUUCCCAGACGCUGGCGCCUCCCCCCUCAGCCUGGAGCAUUCACUCACCCCUCCGAUGGCUGACAGCUGGCCGCUGAGACUCCCCUUCCUGCCAUUGCCUUAGGAGACCCUCCUCAUCUAAUGUCACCCCCCUUCCCUGGCCCAGCCUGCAUCCGAUGACUGCUCCGUACGGGGGAUAAAGGGCUCUUCGCCUCAACUCGGCACAACUGUGAAAAGUCAGUCCAGCUCCAGAGCUCCCUAGAGGUGGGCUGAGACCUUCAUGGGGUCUGCAUAACAGACUAACUUGUC